GCAAGAUACCACGGGCGCACGGCGGAUGCCUUGGCACAGGGAGCCGAUGAAGGACGCGGCAAGCUGCGAUAAUCCCCGGCGAGGAGCACACAUCCUUCGACCCGGGGGUCUCCGAAUGGGCGAACCCAUGCACAGCAGUGUGCAUAUCCCCACCCCGAACACAUAGGGGUGGGGAGGACAACCCGGGGAACUGAAACAUCUAAGUACCCGGAGGAGAGGAAAUCAAUCUCGAGACUCCCCGAGUAGCGGCGAGCGAAAGGGGACCGAUGGCCAAACCGUCGAGCGGGGAUACCCGGCAGGGGUUCCGCCGGCGGGGUUGCAGGGCCGCGCAUCCGGGGGCUGCCGCCCCCGGGCGCAGGUCCGGCUGGGGAGCGGAACGGCAUGGGAGGGCCGGCCGCAGCGGGUGACAGCCCCGUACGCGAACCCAGACCGGACGGCGCGACGCGGUCCCUGAGUAGGGCCGGGCACGUGAAACCCGGUCCGAACCUGGGUGGACCACCAUCCAAGCCUGAGUACUACCCUGUGACCGAUAGCGCACCAGUACCGUGAGGGAAAGGUGAAAAGCACCCCGGGAGGGGAGUGAAACAGUACCUGAAACCGUGCGCCCACGAGCAGUCGGAGCACCUAUAUGGUGUGACGGCGUGCCUUUUGUAGAAUGAGCCAGCGAGUCGCUGGCGCGGGGCGAGGUUAACCGGAAGGGAGCCGUAGCGAAAGCGAGCCUUAACAGGGCGACUUGAGUCCCGCGCCGCGGACGCGAAGCCGGGUGAGCUAUCCGUGGGCAGGCUGAAGCGGGGGUAAGACCCCGUGGAGGGCCGAACGCACGUCGGUUGAAAACGGCGGCGAUGACCUGCGGAUAGGGGUGAAAGGCCAAUCAAACCCGGAGAUAUCUCGUUCUCCCCGAAAUAGCUUUAGGGCUAGCGUCGCGCGUUCACCGCCGGAGGUAGAGCACCGGAUGGACGAGGGGGCUUCGCCGCCUACCGAAUCCAACCGAACUCCGAAUGCCGGCGGCCCAGAGCGCGGCAGUCAGAGCAUGUGGGCUAAGCUGUGUGCUCGAGAGGGAAACAGCCCGGACCGCCCGCUAAGGUCCCCAAGUUCCAGCCGAGUGGCAAAGGAUGUGCGUCCGCCCAGACAACCAGGAUGUUGGCUUAGAAGCAGCCAUUCAUUCAAAGAGUGCGUAACAGCUCACUGGUCGAGUGGACAUGCGCCGACAAUACACGGGGCUAAGCUGGACACCGAAGCGGCGGGAUUUUAUCUAUAUAGAAUCGGUAGGGGAGCUUCCCAUGGGCGGGGAAGCCGCCGGGCGACCGGCGGUGGAGCGCAUGGGAGUGAGAAUGCUGGCAUGAGUAGCGAGAGACGAGAGAGUAACUCGUCCGCCGUGAACCCGAGGUUUCCUGGGCAAGGCUAAUCCUCCCAGGGUCAGUCGGGGGCUAAGGCGAGGCCGGAAGGCGUAGCCGACGCGCAGCAGGCAGACAUUCCUGCACCGCGCACGCGGCGCUACGACCGACGGGGCGACGGAUGGGGGUGGCUCGGCGGGGUUCUGGACGUCCCCGUGAUGGAGCGCGGCCCGCGGACCAGGGAAAUCCGGUCCGCACGAGGGCGAGGCUCCGGACGAAGCACUUAAGCGAAGCGAGUGAGCCCGAGGUCCCUAGAAAAACCCCUAGGCAGGCGCGUGCGCGCCCGUACCGCAAACCGACACAGGUGGGUGGGUAGAACAUACCGAGGCGAUCGGGUCAACCAUGGUCAAGGAACUCGGCACAAUGGCCCCGUAACUUCGGGAGAAGGGGUGCCCGCGCGUACGUGAACGGACUUGCUCCGGGAGCGGAGGCGGGCCGCAGUGGAGAGGCCCAAGCGACUGUUUACCAAAAACACAGGACUCUGCAGAAGCCGCAAGGCGACGUAUAGGGUCUGACGCCUGCCCGGUGCCGGAAGGUCACGCGGAGGAGUUAGCCGCAAGGCGAAGCCCCGAAGCCAAGCCCCGGUAAACGGCGGCCGUAACUAUAACGGUCCUAAGGUAGCGAAAUUCCUUGUCGGGUAAGUUCCGACCUGC
rnacentral:rRNA from 1 species